AUGGACCUCAAGGAGGAGCAUCCAAAGAGCGAAGAACCGUGUGACGUGCUCAACAGAAACAACGGUGGGGGGUUUGAUCUUGAGUAUCCACGCAUUGUGCUUGAGCGCCUCCCGCACCUUUCAAUUUUUUCUCUUGGAGGCCUCAUAGAUGAGCGGAGCAAUGUCCUUAGGCUUGCGUCCAAGGAGCCAAGGAGAGUCCCAGAAGGGGGUCUUCGCGCCGUUACCAACGAUGAUGGUGGUGGAAGCAUAGAAAAAGUUGAGGUCCUCCUCAUCGCAUGGGUUUCCCAUUCCCACCCACAUCUUGGUGGCAUCCUUCCAUUCAUACCACGGCCACCGCAAACUGAGAGCCCGAGUGAACUUGUCGGUGUUGAGAACCCCACGCCAAACCGACAAGCCAAGGCAUCCCUCACCAUGCUCGUGUCAUGGACAUUUUGGAACGAGCAUAACGCAAGAGUUUUCAAACAUAAGAAUGCUCCACCAACAAUCUUGCUCUCCUCCAUCUCUACUGAGGCCAACCUUUGGAUCGUCGCCGGUGCAAAAAAGCUAGGGCCUUUAAUUUUGCGAGAAUAA
rnacentral:rRNA from 1 species